CCCUAUGGGGUGUAGCAGGCGUUUGCAUUGUAUCAGUCGUUAUAUCGCUAUGGAUCGUUUUCUGUGACACUUCCUCACUUUCAAAAUGCCCCAAAGCUCUAUGAGAAAAUGGUAGAGUCUGCGUCUUUUUCCCUCUAUCCGUUAAAGAUACCUGUGAGCAGUGAAAGCGCGCUUCGAUAUCUUCUUGAGACAGACGACCAAUAUCUGAUUGAGUCUGUGUUGAUUGGUAUGAAAACAAGAAACACAGUGUGUGUUUCAUCACAGAUCGGAUGCCGAAUGGGCUGCCGUUUUUGUGCAACAGGACGGAUGGGUUUUCGCCGAAAUCUUUUGGCUCAUGAGAUUGUGCAGCAGUUCUUUACUGCUCGUUUUGUGAUCGGGAAAAAAGUACAAAACGUCGUCUUUAUGGGAAUGGGAGAGC
rnacentral:rRNA from 1 species